UUUUUGGAAGGGGUGAGGGAUUGGUUGUGGUGGUUCUGAACUGGAAGAUUUGACUAAAAAGGAAAGAAAACUAGAGGAACCAAACGUUAUGUGCUUCAAAGGAACUCUGGUCAUUUUUCUUGAUUUCUCUGUUACAUUCAUAUUAUAAGCCUAUUUUGAAUUUUCUUUUUGGCCAAGAACUUCCUCUGUUAAAACUCUUGUGUCAACCUCAUGGAUUCCCUUCAAACCCAUGUGGCACUUUUGAAGCCAUUACGAACUAGGUUGUGUCAUAUUCAAUAUUGCAUAAUUAUAGAUGA